GGUCUAUACAUGCAAGUCGAGCGGACAGAUGGGAGCUUGCUCCCUGAAGUCAGCGGCGGACGGGUGAGUAACACGUGGGCAACCUGCCUGUAAGACUGGGAUAACUCCGGGAAACCGGGGCUAAUACCGGAUAAUUCUUUCCCUCACAUGAGGGAAAGCUGAAAGAUGGUUUCGGCUAUCACUUACAGAUGGGCCCGCGGCGCAUUAGCUAGUUGGUGAGGUAACGGCUCACCAAGGCAACGAUGCGUAGCCGACCUGAGAGGGUGAUCGGCCACACUGGGACUGAGACACGGCCCAGACUCCUACGGGAGGCAGCAGUAGGGAAUCUUCCGCAAUGGACGAAAGUCUGACGGAGCAACGCCGCGUGAGUGAUGAAGGUUUUCGGAUCGUAAAACUCUGUUGUUAGGGAAGAACAAGUACCGGAGUAACUGCCGGUACCUUGACGGUACCUAACCAGAAAGCCACGGCUAACUACGUGCCAGCAGCCGCGGUAAUACGUAGGUGGCAAGCGUUGUCCGGAAUUAUUGGGCGUAAAGCGCGCGCAGGCGGUUCCUUAAGUCUGAUGUGAAAGCCCCCGGCUCAACCGGGGAGGGUCAUUGGAAACUGGGGAACUUGAGUGCAGAAGAGAAGAGUGGAAUUCCACGUGUAGCGUGAAA
rnacentral:rRNA from 1 species